rnacentral:rRNA from 1 species
GGGUGCGAUCAUACCAGCACCAAUUCACCGGAUCCCAUCAGAACUCUUAAGCGUGCUUGGGCAAGAGUAGUACUAGGAUGGGUGACCUCCUGGGAAGUCCUCGUGUUGCACCCC